rnacentral:lncRNA from 13 species
GAGAGCCCACGGCCCCUGGCGGCACAGGCUCUCCCGGCUCUUUGGUGCCCUCCAAACAUGGCUGAGCUCCUGCCCACCGGGUGUUUGGAGGCAGAGCCCACAGGUCCCCAGACCCCCCAUUCCAUUUAUUCAACAACAUCCAUGGAGACCUUUUCUGCCAGAUGGGCGCUGAGUGCUGGGACCCUGAUGACACAGGCUUCACCCCUGGGGGGGCUUCCAGCCUCUGCAGACACAGACCGUUUCACAGAAUGAAUAGAUGCUUCCAGGGUCGCCACAGGGAGGAGGAGGCCAGGCGGGCAGGCUCCAGACCACCUGGCCCGGUCCUGCUCAGCCCUUUUCCCCGGCUCCGGGGUGCCUCACUGGCAGCACCCCACGUCCUCGUCUUCGAAAUUCUGGACGAGCCGGGUGGGGAAACCGAGGCUCUGCGAGGGCGUGCGCUGGUGCCAGGCUUCUGGGAGCUUCCGAUCCAGUUGCCCAGCUCCCUUUGGGACGUGGAGCUCAGGGUCCAGCUUGUCUUCAGGGGGAGGGCUUACAUACAGGGAGACCCCCAGAAGAGAGGCCGUCCUUGAGAGCUGCCCCCCCGCCCCCUGCAAGGUAAAUGGAUCCUGGCUCCUGCCCUUUGAGGCUGGCCUGUGGCUGGGAGGGGUGGAAGCAGAGAGUGGGAACAGGCUUUGUCUGAGCGUCAGAGUCUCCGCCACCAACCCCAGGAGGUGCCUACCCCAGGAGCUGGCUGCCUCCUCCCUAGCCUCCCUUGCCCAGCUGCCAACUCGCAGGGUGUCCCGGCUGCACAGUGCCUGGGGAUGGGCUCGGUUGCGGGCCCAGGGAGCCCCUGUGGCGUCUUUCCAGCUCUCCCCGCUCCCUAAUACUUCUCCUCAGGCCAGUGAGGGAGGGAUACGAGGGAUACGAGGACCGUUUGUUCUUCACAUGUUUUGCAAUUUUCUUGGAAAUGUGAUGGAUCCCAGAGGGGCCCGGGGCUGCUGGCUGGGCUGACCCCUGCCGCUGCUGAGGUGACCUGGGCUGGGGAGGCAGCAGUUCCAGCUUUCCAGGAACAGUCAGUCUUUCCAGGAACUGGUGGUCUGUGGCCAGCCCAGGCCCCUGGAGCUGCAUGGCAGGGUGGAGGCAGCCCGGCCAUGGCAUUGUUGCAGGAGGGGAGUGGAGCAGUAGGGUAAGGAAGAGGUGCGCAGCCCCUCCAGCUCCCUGGUCCCCAGAUGAACCCCUAUGGAGUUUCCAGACCCGCUGGGCCUCCUGGGGGCUCCUGGAGCCCUCGGCCCUCCCUUCCACCCAGGCUGCUCUGUUCUCCUGGUCACUGAGGG